GAUGAACGCUGGCGGCGUGCCUAAUACAUGCAAGUCGAGCGAACGGACGAGAAGCUUGCUUUUCUGAUGUUAGCGGAGGACGGGUGAGUAACACGUGGAUAACCUACCUAUAAGACUGGGAUAACUUCGGGAAACCGGAGAUAAUACCGGAUAAUAUUUUGAACCGCAGGGUUCAAAAGUGAAAGACGGUCUUGCGGUCACGUAUAGAUGGAUCCGCGCUGCAUUAGCUAGUUGGUAAGGUAAAGGCUUACCAAGGCAACGAUGCAUAGCCGACCUGAGAGGGUGGUCUGCCACACUGGAACUGAGACACGGUCCAGACUCCUACGGGAGGCAGCAGUAGGGAAUCUUCCGCCAUGGGCGGAAGCCUUACGGAGCAACGCCGCGUGAGUGAUGAAGGUCUUCGGAUCGUAAAACUCUGUUAUUAGGGAAGAACAUAUUUGUAAGUAACUGUGCACAUCUUGACGGUACCUAAUCAGAAAGCCACGGCUAACUACGUG
rnacentral:rRNA from 1 species